GCCCGAGUGGCGGAAUUGGCAGACGCGCCUGACUCAAAAUCAGGUUCUACGGAGUGUGGGUUCGAGUCCCACCUCGGGCACCC
rnacentral:tRNA from 7 species